rnacentral:rRNA from 1 species
UACGGGGGGGGCAAGCGUUGUUCGGAAUUACUGGGCGUAAAGGGCUCGUAGGUGGCCAACUAAGUCAGACGUGAAAUCCCUCAGCUUAACUGGGGAACUGCGUCUGAGACUGAUUGGCUCGAGGACAGGAGAGGAACGCGGAAUUCCAGGUGUAGCGGUGAAAUGCGUAGAUAUCUGGAGGAACACCGGUGGCGAAGGCGGCGUUCUGGACUGUUUCUGACACUGAAUAACGAAAGCCAGGGGAGCAAACGGG